AUGUUUGAGCGAGAGGCGCGGCGUUCAACAAACAAGUUUGUGCAGAAAGAGAGGGACAGAAUAAGGAAAGAUGGAGAGAUCGCUGACAGAGCUGCUGAGCUGGACAGAAUCAAUAGUGUGAUAUUGAAGGCUGAAUUUGAGUGCCUUGGCCUUAAUUAUUAUGAAAAGGCCCUGAAACGCAGAGAGAGGAUCCAACAGAGCGAGAUGGAGUUGUGGAUCACCUCUCUCACUACGGUCCGGAGAGAAGCGUUACGCAGGAUGCUGGAGCAGGAGAGACUGCUGCAUGUCAGAGAGCUCAGCAGGAUUGGCCGGGCCAUUUAUCAACAAAGAACAUAAACCAUUAAAACACAUUCCAAUGCUAAGCCUUCACAUUCACUGCUUUAUAUACAUGUGACUGUACAAAUUAGUUCUCUCUACGAUUAUUUUAUCCUUAAGUUUUCUUUACAUUUGUUCAUAACUUAUAUGAAUCAACUCCUGUGAUCACUGGAAACCUUGUAUUAAGCUCUUUUUUGUUUCUUUUUUUUUAUUAUAAUAACAUUGAAAUCAGUAGUGCUAUUUUUUGUAGAAAGUGUGAUUCAUUUUUUUUUAUUUCGGGAUUCUUUGAUCAAUAUAAAAUGCAAAUAUUUAUUUAAAAUAAAAAUCAUUUGUAAAUGUCA
ensembl:lncRNA